rnacentral:rRNA from 1 species
UCGAGCGAGUCUGCCUUGAAGAUCGGAGUGCUUGCACUCUGUGAAACAAGAUACAGGCUAGCGGCGGACGGGUGAGUAACACGUGGGUAACCUGCCCAAGAGAUCGGGAUAACACCUGGAAACAGAUGCUAAUACCGGAUAACAACAGAUGAUGCCUAUCAACUGUUUAAAAGAUGGUUCUGCUAUCACUCUUGGAUGGACCUGCGGUGCAUUAGCUAGUUGGUAGGGUAACGGCCUACCAAGGCGAUGAUGCAUAGCCGAGUUGAGAGACUGAUCGGCCACAUUGGGACUGAGACACGGCCCAAACUCCUACGGGAGGCAGCAGUAGGGAAUCUUCCACAAUGGACGCAAGUCUGAUGGAGCAACGCCGCGUGAGUGAAGAAGGGUUUCGGCUCGUAAAGCUCUGUUGUUGGUGAAGAAGGACAGGGGUAGUAACUGACCUUUGUUUGACGGUAAUCAAUUAGAAAGUCACGGCUAACUACGUGCCAGCAGCCGCGGUAAUACGUAGGUGGCAAGCGUUGUCCGGAUUUAUUGGGCGUAAAGCGAGUGCAGGCGGUUCGAUAAGUCUGAUGUGAAAGCCUUCGGCUCAACCGGAGAAUUGCAUCAGAAACUGUCGAGCUUGAGUACAGAAGAGGAGAGUGGAACUCCAUGUGUAGCGGUGAAAUGCGUAGAUAUAUGGAAGAACACCGGUGGCGAAGGCGGCUCUCUGGUCUGUUACUGACGCU